GUGAUCGGAAAUCGAUUUUGAACAUUAUUGUUUAUUCGUUAAAAUAAAAAAGACCACGUGUUUAUUUUUAUUUUACAUUAUCUUAACGAUCUGAAAAUGACAAUAUCGUAUCUCUUAGAUAUCACAAACUAAUCUUCAACUGUGAAAUCUUAUUCUCGUGUUUAGCAAAUGUUUUUUUUUAUAUAUAUGAAACUAAUCAAAUUGAAUCCAAGCAUAUGCAUCGUAGGCAGGGGCGGAUCGGGGGUCGGGGGCUGAAGCCCCCUUCCAAAUUUUGAGUUAUAUAUAUAAAUAUAACAGAGAAUAUAAUACAUUAUUUAAUAAUAGUACAUUUAUGUUAAUUGGUUAAUUUUUUUUUUGUUAAAUUGUUAUACCCAAAAAAAGGAUGCUAGAGUGCAUUGCUUAACAUUUUAUAGUGAUUUGUUUUAUUAGUUUCUUAGUUAAUUUUCAAUAUUGAAUUUAGUUGAUCUUCAAGUUAAAGUAAAAUUAUGAACUAUUAAUAAUGAAAAUUAGUUUAUUUUUUAGGAGAUGAAACAUUUUUUUAAAGGAAUGCAUAGAGGUAGGUCUUUAUAUGCUUUUAAUGUAAUUGUUGUUGAAUUAAUAAAAUGCGAACAAUUAUAAUAAAUGAAUGAGUUAUACUCCUAAUUAGUCCAUUAAAAUUCUAUUUGGACAUAAAAAAUAAACUGUACAGAAUGCUCAAAACCUUUUGACUCGGGAGCUCUCGCCCCCGAACCCUUGUACAAAUACUUUUAAACGUUAUACUUCAACAAAUUCAACCCCCUAAUAUCAAUUGUUGGAUCCGCC
rnacentral:lncRNA from 1 species